CCAAAUGCGUUGACGGGGAAAAAACGAUCUUCUUCUGCUUCAGAGAGCUGCCGGGUGGUGCAAGGCAGUGCGGAGGGUUUCGGCUACUGGCCCCUGAGCGGCAGAGCUGAACGGAGAGUAGGCUCUGACGGAUGCCCACCGUUACCGGGGCAGCGAUUCGCCGCCAAAAGCUGAUCGUGUGAGUGGCUGGUUUUCCAGCAAAGAGAGUGGUACCACGGGUGCUCUGUUAGAAAAAUGACAGGCCCUCGUCUCUCAA
rnacentral:ncRNA from 1 species